ACGCAGAGAAGCUCACUGGAUCAACACAUUGCUUACUCUGAAUUAGAACUUAUGCAAGUACAAUCAUUAGUUGGGCUUCUAUUUUCAUGCAAAAAGUAAUAAGGAAAGUUAAUUUAACUUUGAAAAAAAUCAACUUAAAAGGGCCUAAUAAAAAAAUCAACCCCUUGAUAAAUGAACCACAGGAUAAUAUCCAACAACAAAAUAAACCAAGGCAGUAUGAGGAGAAAGUUUGACAUUUAAGCAGAGGAACUGGAGUUCAACAUAUGAGGUUACCUGAACCUGAAGUUCUCUGGCAGCAAAGUCUAGUAAGUCACUCAACAGCCUUCUUUUGAACAUAGGCAAUGAUUCCUCACGUCUGUGGCAGGAAAAAUAGCAUUGAAAUUGAUGUUUUAGUAACAAUGCAAGUAUUCAUGUUGCUCUUUAAUUAAAAGAAAGCUGUUAUAAUUUCAGGUAAAGAAAAUUAUAGUGAAUGAAGUUAGAUGCUGUCUCACACUGUAAGCAUGACUGUAUCAACAGAAAGCAACCUCACUAGUCACAUUAAAGUUCAUAGUCCACUAAAUAGCUUAUAGAAUCAGUAGUCAACAGCUUACAUAAGCAUAAAUGUUAGGCUUCAAUGUCCAUUGAAGAUGAUUACCUACUACAGAACAGAAAGCAACCUCACUAGUCACAUUAAAGUUCAUAGUCCACUAAAUAGCUUAUAGAAUCAGUAGUAAACAGCUUACAUAAGCAUAAAUGUUAGGCUUCAAUGUCCAUUGAAGAUGAUUACCUACUACAGAUGCCAAUCUCACAGUGUUUAGUUUCACAUGUUAAAACCCCACAAACUGUUAAUUCACAUGUAUAAAAUCAGACUGAAAAUAAAAAUCCGAUAAGAAAAAGAAAAUAGGGUUUUACUCAGUCCAUUGUAUCCCAAUAACCCCUCUAUAAUGGCGAAAGUUGACUAGAUAACAAGAAACCUAAUUUGCUAUCAUAUGUGUAAAAGAAGCAAUUACAAUCAGAGAAGCACCAAAAGAUUAACAAUAAUGAAGCAUAUGAUGUGGCUAAUUGAAGUAAAAUUACACCAUACCAGGAAAGAAGGUACUAAAGUAUUCGGUAUAUUACAGAAGAAAAGGUGCAACCAAUUAAGUCCAACAAAUAUCAUCUAAAAUAAUGAAUUUGCACCAAAUUAAGCGUACAAGUGUUGAAAUACAAGAGAUUAUUUCAAAAAGUCCUUUCUUUAUGCUUCAACUUAGUUAAGAUAUACAAAACCUCACCAAUUAGUCCUUCAUUCCUAUUUAAUCCUUCUGGAAAAUUAUAAGUCCUAUCAAACAUUUUAGGACCAUUAAGCCCUAGUUGAUAAGCACAUCUAAAUGAUUCUGAAGUAGUUGUUCCUUAACUCCUUUUUUCCAUUUUAACCUUUGAAAUUCAGAGCUUCAAAUGAUAAAAUCUGGCAAUCCCAUUUUUAGUUUCUUUCGAUAUCUAUCAUAUAUGAAAAGUAAGGAAGUUCUUAUCUUGAAAAUGUGCAUGCUAGUACAAGCAAUAUUUCUGAUAAAGCAGCAGAAAUGAUAUAAGGUGUCUAGAAAAUUUAGAAUUUUCCAGUUAUUAAGAAAUUAUAUUUUGAUAUAAGAGAAAAAACUCUAUGAAAAUGAAAAGAUAAAGUAGAGGAAUCAAGUUCUACUAAGGGUAUGUUUGGUUCCCCAUGAAAUUGGGGUUUAGAAUUGGAAUUGGGGCUCCAAUUCUAAUUCUGUUGUUUGGAUUAUGCUCCAAUUGAAGAAUUAGAAUUCAAUUUGAAUUCUAUGGGAGUCCAAUUCCAUGAAUUGAAUUCUUUACCGGACCAAAAGAAUUCUAAUUCCAAUUUCACAACUAAACCAUAAGAAAUGGAUAUACACGCGAAUCUAACAUGGGUAAAAAAUUAAAAGCGGGUCAAAUAUACAAGCAUCCCUCUCUCCUAUUCUAAUUCACCAUUUUUUCUCAGCCGCAAGUGCUCCUGCUCUCCACCAUCGCUUCUACCUCUGCCCUAACAUUUUGCCGCUUCCACCAUCGUUUCCCCUAUCGCUCUUCGUUUCAGCCAUCCCUCUGCCCUUCGCCUCUCCUGCCACGCAUCCACCCAUCAUCUUGCCAAUCGCAAGACUAAUCUGAGUGCUCUCUCCUUACCCCUGCCUAAUUUUCUCGAAUUGGGUUCUUCAGUCUUGAAGGUAAUAUCUCCUAAGAAUUUGCACUGAAAUUUGACGUUUUCUUACAAAGCACUGCCUAACCCUUGAGUGCCAGAUAUUAAUUCUAGUAAUGGUUCUUGACUUUGGUUUUACAGCCCAGCAAUGGCUCAGAACCUACAGUUGGAAAGACCCUUGUUAAGGACGGAGGUCUAUUUUUUUAUAGAAACUUGGUACUGGAUUGGUGUAUGAGCAGCAUGUUCAAUCUUCUUUUUAUUGAAGUAUUGACAUUUUUAGAGCGUAAGCCCCACGUACAACCUUGUUAUCAUGCAAUUUUUGUUCCUAAUAUACUAUAUAGUAAAGAAGUCCAUGUCUUAAUUUUGUGGUGUCAACUUAAUGUCAGCUCUAGGAGAUAAUAAAGCUGUUAUUCU
rnacentral:lncRNA from 1 species